UUCUUAGUAGAUACCAAACCAUUUAAUCCGGUAGAAUUGAAUAUAAUCCAAAAGAAUCAAUGAUAUUCUAAAUAUCCGAAAACAAUAACAUAACAUAACCAUUUUAAUAUAAUCAAAGCAAAGUUUAAUCUACAAGAUCAAAACACGCAUAAUAGAUUAUUAGGGUUAUCUUAAUUAAGGUUUAAUUCGGAUCUUUCGGAUACCAUACGGAUCCCGGGUAUUAUCCGUUUUCGAUCCGGUAUCCGAGCAAAUUUUAAACUUUAUCCAACCAGGUAUUUUCUUGUAUCCGAAUCUGAUCCGAAACCCGAUUUUCGGGUAAUUAUCGGUUCGGAUCUUUGGAUCCGGGAAAUAUGCCUAAGCCUACUCUUCUCUUUUUCUCUUAUGAAAGCUUGUUGUUUUGACAUAUAGCUUAUUGUUUGUAUUUAUAUCAUCAAUGUCUUACUGUUCACCCGUCUAAAUCUAAAUCCUAGAUAUAAUGUAUGGUAUGUAUCAUUGUAUUGAAUGACAAAGAUAAACUAAACACAUUACCGUUCUAACUCAUAUAAUGAUUUUAAAAAAUCUAACAAAAACUGCUGGCUGCUCUUACUACAUUGAACCAUAUGAAGGAUGUUGGGAUUGAGCCGAGUGUCAUCCACUUCACUACUUUGAUAGACGGUCUGAGCCGAGCAGGGAAUCUAGAAGCUUGCAAGUACUCCCAUGAAAUGGUGGAUGUUGUUUGUUACACCUUGAUGAUCACAGGGUAUGUUGUAGCCGGAGAGGUAGAGAAGGCGAAGGAGAUGUUCAAAUAGAUGGUAAGAAAAAGGCAGCUGCCCAAUGUCUUCACAUACACCUUGAUGAUUCGCGGGCUGUGUGCAUGGCGGGAGAGUUCAGAGGAGCGUGUUGUUUUGGUAAAGGAGAUGGAAGCUUCAGGGUGUAACCCGAAUAUCGUAGUGUAUAGUACAUUGGUGAGCUAUUUGAGAAAGGCAUGAAGCUUACUGAGGCUGGCAAGGUAAUGAGAGACAUGGUGAAGAAAGGUCAUUAUGUUCAUUUAGUUCCAAAGACGAUAAAAUAUAGGAGAUGAUGUUAGGGAUAUUUUUUUUGUUAAUUUGAGGUUGUUAUUUCUCUCUUUACUGAUUUUAACCUACAUUAUAUUUUUUCUUUUCCCAAAGAAAGUUAGACAAGGAAACAUAUGAGUGGUUUCACUGGUAAGACUCUUAAAAUUGAAAAAAAUAUAUAAAUAUUUCAUAUUUUUAUAAUAUUAUUUCUGAAGUGAGUUUAGUAUGUGUCACGUUCACUUUAAUUCUUACGGUGGUUGAUUUCGAUGAUACUUUUAAUGAAUCACAUAUAUCUAAUUAUCAUUAUUAAAUAUUUAUUCUAUUUUUCUAAUUUAGGUUUCCGUUUUCUUUAUUUUUCAAAUAACCAAUACAAUAAAGAAAAUUUAUAAAUUUUAAAAACAAAAAUAUCUUUUAUAUAUAGUGUAAUUCAUAAUAAGGAAACUAAAGUUCACAAAAUAAUCUUGAUUUUAAAGUAAAGAAAUAAUCUUCCCUUUAAAAGAUAAUCUUAAACAACAUAAUAUAUAUUUUAGAAGUAUUACCCAUUUUAUUUUAAAAUCAAUCUAUUUCUCAAAUUAUUACACAAUAAUUUAAAUAACAUAAAUUAAGAUAUCUUUAAUGAAUAAAAUUUUAUUUAAUAUUUCUUUUUAUUUAAGUUCCCUUCUAUAUUUUUCAAAUAACUGAUAAAUAAAAUAUUAAUAAAAUUUAAGACAAAUAAAUUUUUAUAUAUAUAAUGUGAUUUCAUAGAAAAGGAAAGUUUAGAAAAAUAAUCUUGAUAUUAAAAUAAAGAAAUAAUUUUCUCUUUUAAAAUUUGUGGAAGCUCCAUUGGUCGAGUGGUUUGUCUAAAGUUUCAUUAAUAUUUUUACACCAGAAGAUCUGGGUUUCGAAUUCCAGUAAAAGCAUAAUUAUGCGAAUUAAUGGAGAGAAGACUUACAAGAAAUCUGCAACAUGGCGUAAGGAGUACCAUCAUGCACGAAUCCUCAUAAGGCAAUUAGAAUCUUCUGUAAUAUUCUAAUAGCAUAAUUAACCAGCGUUAAAAAAACAUUAUCGGUUAUGUUUUUUAUGUAAUUUUGUACCUAUCAUCACUUUAUUUUUAUAAUUUUAUUUUUCUAAAUUAACAUAUAAUAAAUUACUAAAAAAAUCAAAAUAUAUUUACACAUCUACGAUGAACAACCAAACUAAUACAAUGAAUAUAAAUAGUUAUACUUUAAUUUGACGGAAUAUAUGUAAGACAAUAUACCCACAAAAUGAGUAACUAGACCAAUAUUUUUACUACAAAGUCAAACAUUAAAUUAAAAAUUAGAUAUUUAAUUUAUAGUAAUAUUAUUAUACAUAUAAAUUAUAGAACAUCUCAAUAUAUUACAAAUAAAUAUGAAAUUUUCAAAUAAUAUUAUAAAUAUAUUAACCAACUAUUAAAAUUAAUUAUUUUGUAUAACUUAUAUAUAUAUGCAUAAGGUUUAAAAGGACUAUGAUUAUUAUAUUUCUGUACGUAACUUUGAAUCGUCAACACUUUUGUUUACUUUAACUCUUUGAUUCUCAAAAUAACAUAUAUUAAAAUCUACAUAAUCUUACUAAAAUAUGUUUACAAAUCUAAGACAAGAAUCAAACUACAUCUAAAUAAAAAAAUUAAUUAAAAUUUUAAGCUUUACAACAAAAUAUUAUAGUUGAAUCGGAAAGUAAAUGUUAUCUAAUAUAUCCAAAUAAUAACCAAAUAGUUUAGAUAUUAUAUAUCCAAAAAUUAUACAUCUAAUUAAAAUAACAUAAUGUUAUUUAAAACCAUUCAUAUUGAUUACAAUAUAAAUAGUAGAAUUAUUAAAAAUUAAAAAUAAAAUAUUAAUAAAUUAUUAUAAUUAAUAUUUUUAUUUUCUAAUAUUUAUAAACUAUUAUAUUUUGAUUUAAUAAGUGAAAAUAUAAAAUAUGUUAUGGUUUAAUAAGUGAAUUUGAUUUAAUAUUUUGGAUAAGUAUUAAUUAAGGAAAGCACACCCAGUAUGGCAAUAUUCAGAUUUUAUUCCGCACACCCAACAUAGAUAUCCCUAAAUCUGAAUCGGAGACUCCCAUCCCAUCCCAUCCCAUCAUUGUCUGUUUGAUGUUCUCCGCAGGCGCUUUUAAGGAAGAGAUUGGUUCCGUCUGUAUGGAUUCAAACAAGCUAGGCAUGCAUUGGCUCGAGAGAUGCAAUCAGCUGUCUCCCUCAAGAGGUUCUGGGAGAGAUCUUGUCCUUACUUCCGACCAAACUUGCUGCUUCAACCUCUCUUCUCUCGAAAAAGUGGAGGUUAGAUUAGUGCAUACUCUUGAUUUCGACGAUAUUGAUUUCCUGCAACCGGAAGUGGGCAAAGAGGAGUGGCCUGUGAUCAGGGAGAGCUUCAGAAACUUUGUGGAUAGAACACUCGCUUUGCAACGCGGUUCUUCUAUCAAUAAGUUCUCUCUAACAUAUCAAGUUACCAACAACAGCGAUGCGGUUUAUAUGCGCCGCUGGAUAUGCAACGUGGUUGAGCGUUGUGUUUUGGAAGUUGACCUUCGUGUGAUGCCUGGUAGAAACUGGGCUUGGCUAGAUGUUGAUGAUGUUCACGGGAAAUGUCUUCUUCCUUGUCACCUCUUCAGGAGCAAGACACUGGUCAAGCUGUCUCUAGGAACAAAUACUAAUAUUGGAAAGCUUCCUCCGGAUGUGUCUCUUCCAGCGCUCAAGAGUCUCUCCAUCGAUUCCAUCGUGUUUGCCUAUAAAGAUCUGUGUGAUGUGCUUCUUCCUGGUUGUCCAAUGCUUGAGGAGUUAACUGUUCGCCACGAGAAUGACUUAAAUGAGCUUUACACUUACAGCAUAUCUUCUCAGAGCAUCAAGAAGCUAAAAGUUUACUAUGAUUCUAAAUAUCGAAAUGAUUAUAUGUCAUUUGACGCCCCAAGUCUUGUCUCCCUCGACUACACUGACUAUGCCUUGUAUAAGUACCCACUCGUUAACUUUGAAUCCUUACUCGAAGCUAAGCUGAACCUUUAUUAUUCUGAAAAGAUCAAGAGGCCGGAUAUAACCGGUCUCAUUAUAGGGAUAAGCAACGUCCAGACUCUGCAUCUUUGUGGCGGUUCUGUUGAUGUGAUUUCUCGAUGUGUUAAACGUGGACUAGUUUUACCGGUGUUCAAGAAUCUGGUUAAGUUAUCUUUUGCAACUGGCAACAAAAAAGGUUGGAAACUGCUGCCGUAUCUACUUAAACAGUCUCCAAAGGUUGAGACACUAAUCAUAAAGGGUAAUGAUGGUGACACAUGCGAUGUUACCAUUGGUCUGUUGCAAGUGAAGGUGUUGGAUGUUCUUGGUUAUAAAGGAACUGCUAAAGAGUUCGAACACUUGAAGAGUUUGUUUGGGGGUAUUGAGUGCAUAGAAAAAAUGCGAGUGGAGUUCGAGGAAUAUAUGUGGUGGUGACACUAUUACUUAAACCCGUAGGGAUCUAGUUACCCUUGUUGGAGUUGUUGCAUGCAGCGUCCCAGUGGUAGAAAACCCCGUAAUCCCACAAAACCUAGCUUCCUCAUUGGCCUUGAGCUGCUCUUCAAUGACGAAGAGAUACCAUUUGCUCUUCUGAAGCCCUUAAAUUUGUUAAUCGUAGGUAUAUGCAACCUAAACACAUACGAUAUAACCUUCACAGGGCUCUGCGGUUCUCAGUUUUUUAAGGGAAACGAAUAGGAGUAAACAAUUUCUCUUUCCUGUGUUUGCUGCAAUAAGAACAUGAUAACACAUGCUUUCCAAAAGUGGAGAGGGACAGCUGAUUUGAGAGAGUGAUGGGAAAAAAAAUUGGCAAACAAGACCCAAAAAAAAACCCAAAACUGACAACAGAACAAAAAAGAACACGUUGCAUUUGAGAGACAACUGUGGUUGUCGUCUGACACAAAUUGAAAGUCUAGUCUUUUUUUUUGUCAAAACAUAGCUAAGAUUUAAUUUUCAGUUUUUUUUUAGCAAAUUAAGCAUUCAUAAUAAUAGUCAAAAGUCACCAAUUCCAGCAUUCAUAGUAAUUAAUAGACAAAAGUCACUUGAGACGAUUCAUUUUCUGAUCGAAAUGGAAACACAAAGAAAGGCAAAUUAAAAAGCAAGUGUUUUUUUUUUUAAAUGA